rnacentral:rRNA from 1 species
ACGCUCGACACCUACGGGGGCAGCAGUGAGGAAUAUUGGUCAAUGGGCGCUAGCCUGAACCAGCCAAGUAGCGUGAAGGAUGAAGGCUCUAUGGGUCGUAAACUUCUUUUAUAUAAGAAUAAAGUGCAGUAUGUAUACUGUUUUGUAUGUAUUAUAUGAAUAAGGAUCGGCUAACUCCGUGCCACCAGCCGCGGUAAUCUGAGCGGGCUGGCAAGGC